rnacentral:tRNA from 1 species
AUCAAUACAGUGAACACACACAAUAGCCUUAAAACCUAUUAACGUAGAAAACAACUACUAUUGACA